AGUGAACGCUGGCGGUAGGCCUAACACAUGCAAGUCGAACGGCAGCACAGUAAGAGCUUGCUCUUACGGGUGGCGAGUGGCGGACGGGUGAGGAAUACAUCGGAAUCUACUUUUUCGUGGGGGAUAACGUAGGGAAACUUACGCUAAUACCGCAUACGACCUACGGGUGAAAGCAGGGGAUCUUCGGACCUUGCGCGAUUGAAUGAGUCGAUGCCGGAUUAGCUAGUUGGCGGGGUAAAGGCCCACCAAGGCGACGAUCCGUAGCUGGUCUGAGAGGAUGAUCAGCCACACUGGAACUGAGACACGGUCCAGACUCCUACGGGAGGCAGCAGUGGGGAAUAUUGGACAAUGGGCGCAAGCCUGAUCCAGCCAUACCGCGUGGGUGAAGAAGGCCUUCGGGUUGUAAAGCCCUUUUGUUGGGAAAGAAAAGCGGCAGGUUAAUACCCCGCUGUUCUGACGGUACCCAAAGAAUAAGCACCGGCUAACUUCGUG
rnacentral:rRNA from 1 species